UACGUAGGGGGCGAGCGUUGUCCGGAUUCAUUGGGCGUAAAGAGCUCGUAGGCGGUUCGGCAAGUCGGGUGUGGAAACUCCAGGCUCAACCUGGAGACGCCACCCGAUACUGCUGUGACUCGAGUCCGGUAGGGGACCACGGAAUUCCUGGUGUAGCGGUGAAAUGCGCAGAUAUCAGGAGGAACACCAAUGGCGAAGGCAGCUCGCUGGGACGGUACUGACACUGAGACGCGAAAGCGUGGGGAGCAAACAGG
rnacentral:rRNA from 1 species